AGCGGCAAACGGGGUAGGAAUGAGUCGGUGACGUACCCUCGGGACGAGGAUAGCCACGGGAAACUGUGAUUAAUACUCGAUAACCUGGCGGAGCGUGGUGGUUUCGCCAGCAAAGGUGAGAUUCCACCCGAGGAGCGGCUGACUUCGUAUUAGCUAGUUGGCGAGGUAACGGCUCACCAAGGCUUCGAUGCGUAGGGGGUGUGAGAGCACGACCCCCACCACUGGGACUGAGAUACUGCCCAGACACCUACGGGUGGCUGCAGUCGAGAAUCUUCGGCAAUGGGCGCAAGCCUGACCGAGCGACGCCGCGUGGAGGAUGAAGGCCCUUGGGUUGUAAACUCCUGUCAGAGGGGAUGAAGUGCAUGGGAGCCAUCUCUCAUGUUUGACAUAGCCUCAGAGGAAGCACGGGCUAAGUUCGUGCCAGCAGCCGCGGUAAUACGAACUGUGCGAACGUUAUUCGGAAUCACUGGGCUUAAAGGGUGCGUAGGCGG
rnacentral:rRNA from 1 species